GCAGGACCCAGCGCCGCGGUAGCCUUCUCUGAACUGCGGCUCAGGCGGAGGUGUCACUCCUGCCUCCAGCCCAGGAGGGCAGGUAGAGACAGCUCCGGGCCGGGGGUGGAGGAUGGUGCGGUGGGGAGGAGGCAAGGAAAUUCCCAGCCUUCCUGCGCGAACCUGGGAGACCAGCAGGCACCUGGUCUCGUCCCGCUGGGUCCCCUCCGCACCCAAGACUGUCUUCCCAAGUGGCUUACUCCACAGAAGGAAUGUCGUCAGCUGAUUAUAUCUGAUUAGCAUCCAGUUCCGACGACUCAUCCCUUAAAACGGAUGUGGUCUCAUUAGGUUGCCCAAGCUGGACUUGUACUCUUGGCCUCAAGAGGUCCUUCCAUCUCAGUCUCCCAAGUAGCUGGGACUACAAGCAUGCACCACUACACUCAGCCAAAUACUUUCAAUAAUUUGCCAGCUGACAACUUGAUUGGGUUCUCCUUCAGGUUUGAAGCGCCCUCGAGAAGUGUCUAAAGGAGACAGUUGAUAGCCAAACAACAGUUUUGGAUUCACUGACUGAUUAUGAAAGAAGCAGUAGACUGGUAUCAAGAAUCAGUCAGCAAGGAGGCCCUCACCAGACGCCAGUGCCAUGUUCUUGGACUUCUCAGCCUCCAUAUUCAUGAACUAAGUUUUUGGAAUCCUUAGGCUUCCACGUGUGGAAAGCCUGAGCUAACCUACUGGAGGAUGAGCCAUCACCUGGAGCAGAUUCAGGCCAUCCUAGUUGAAGCCUCCCUAGGCCAAGCAACCGUCCAACUACCAGACAUUGACCAUUCAGCCUUGAACAUUCAGCACAAAGACAAAACAGACCAGACCAGAAGAGUCCCACAGAAUAGGGGAAACUAUUCAGAGAAAACUUAAGCCACUAAGUUUUAUGGUGUUUUGUUCUGUAGCAGAAGCAUAGGCAUACUGACAAUACAAACCGAAAUCCUUCUAACGUAGUGGACCUUUUCAGGCCAGCAUUUUUUCCUUGAAAACCUGGAGCAUGUAUCCAUCUUAUAGCAGAGAUCACUUUCACAAUGUUUGGGCUCUUGAUUUGAAUUGAUGAUGUAAUGAGCCCUCUAUCCAGAUUGUAACUAAUUACUCUGCGAAUUGACUGGAUUCCACACCCUUCUAAUAUUUUACUUUUCCUCUUUUAUCAACUCUCAUUCUUGCUGCCAUGAUCAAUGGACCAACUAUGCUUAUAACCACAAAUUUUGAUAUGCUUAAACAAAUGAACAAAUAUAUUUAAUAAUUUCUUUUUUUUUUUUGAAAUAGUAUCUUGCUCUGUCACCCAGGCUGCAGUGCAGCAGCGUGAUCUCAGCUCACUAUAACCUCCACCUCCCGGGUUCAAGUGAUUCUCCUGCCUCAGCCUCCCAAGUAGCUGGGACUACAGGCGCCCACCACCAUACCUGGCUAAUUUUUUGUAUUUUUAGUAGAGACAGGGUUUAUCCAUGUUGGCCAGGCUGGUCUCAAACUCCUGACCUCAAGUGAUCCUCCUGCCUCGGCCUCCCAAAGUGCUGGGAUUACAGGUGUGAGCCACCAUGCCCAGCCAAUAAUUUCCUGAUAUAAUAAAAAUGCCAAUACUAUACAAUUAAAUAGUAAAGUGAUAAAAAAUAGGAUAACAUGAUAACCACUAAUUAAUAUAUACUACAUAAUCAUCCUUUUCGUGAGUUGAAAUGUUCUUUUAGCACACUUUAUGGUUUAUCCUUUCUGGAAUACUAUUAUAUGAUCAUGAUUUUUCUCACACUUGUUCCAGUGAAAUAUACUUUUAGGUGUUUCCUUUGUAUUGUUCAAACUGUAAUAUCUCCAGUGGAAGAUUUUUUAAGCUUGUUCUUGUCUUGUCAGUGUCACCCACAUAGUCAUAGUCUGAAAGCAUUUUGCUUUCUGGAAAUAAGAUAUUAUAGGCACCAAGUUAUGGAAUUAUCUACUUUUCACCAAGCCUUCAUUCUUUCAGUGCUGUAUUAGAGACCUCAUUUAGGGUUCUAAGGGUGCAUAUCAAAUUGUUCCAUGAGUCUAAAAUGGAUAAUUCUUCUGUGGGCCAUUUUUAGUGCUAGAGCUAGAAAAGUUAUACUUUUAAAAGGUAAAUAGCUCACAAUGAUUUUGCAAUAUAAUUCCCACUUUACCC
ensembl:lncRNA LINC00941 long intergenic non-protein coding RNA 941